CUCUAAAUCUAGGUCUGGAAAAUGCAAGGACUGGAGGCGGCUGGCACAGCUGGAGGUGGCCUCCAGCAUGGUCAGGGCAUCCACCGGCCUGAGGGGCAAUGAAGCUGAAGAAUGGGCACAAGUGGGACAGACAGAAACAUACUCAAAUGAUAAAGAAGUUUUAUACAAUUUAGAUGAGGAACCUAAGGCAACAUUAGGUGGAGGUGCUUGCCUGAGCUCAGUGCCCAGCCCUGUCUCUGCCAGGUACUGGGAACCCGAGUCCUCCUCUGCAAGGAACUCCCAGUCCAGCAGCAUCUCUUCUCCCACAGUGGCGAUGUCAUCUUUUCAGAUAAGAGUCAGGACCCUGAAGGAAUUGUGACAAUCAAGGACUUGGAGUGGGUUUGUGGGUUGGCAGAUGCUACGCUAGCAGGAGACAUCUGGCCAUAAAAUGAGGGCUCCACUGAAUAUGCCAGCGUGUUGUGCCCAUGCACUACAAGAGGAGACACCCAGCAGAGACUGACAGGUAAGG